rnacentral:rRNA from 1 species
AGUCGAACGGAAGUCGUUAUAAAAAGGAUUGAAGAUUUAUCUGAUUGAGAUUUUAUAACAAUGGCUUUAGUGGCGGACUGGUGAGUAACGCGUGAGCAACCUGCCUACUAGAGGGGAAUAACAGUGAGAAAUCACUGCUAAUACCGCAUAUGCCAUGAACAUCACAUGAUGAAAAUGGGAAAAGAGUAAUCUGCUAGUAGAUGGGCUCGCGUCUGAUUAGAUAGUUGGUGGGGCAACGGCCUACCAAGUCGACGAUCAGUAGCCGGACUGAGAGGUUGAACGGCCACAUUGGGACUGAGAUACGGCCCAGACUCCUACGGAAGGCAGCAGUCGGGAAUAUUGCGCAAUGGAGGAAACUCUGACGCAGUGACGCCGCGUAUAGGAAGAAGGUUUUCGGAUUGUAAACUAUUGUCGUUAGGGAAGAUAAAAGACAGUACCUAAGGAGGAAGCUCCGGCUAACUACGUGCCAGCAGCCGCGGUAAUACGUAGGGAGCAAGCGUUAUCCGGAUUUAUUGGGUGUAAAGGGUGCGUAGACGGGUUAGCAAGUUAGUUGUGAAAGCCCUCGGCUUAACUGAGGAACUGCAACUAAAACUGUUAAUCUUGAGUGUUGGAGAGGAAAGUGGAAUUCCUAGUGUAGCGGUGAAAUGCGUAGAUAUUAGGAGGAACACCGGUGGCGAAGGCGACUUUCUGGACAAUAACUGACGUUGAGGCACGAAAGUGUGGGGAGCAAACAGGAUUAGAUACCCUGGUAGUCCACACCGUAAACGAUGGAUACUAGGUGUAGGGAAUUAUUUAAUUUUCUGUGCCGUCGCAAACGCAAUAAGUAUCCCACCU